UUCAAUGCGAAGGUAAUGUCACGCUGCAUGAGGAAAAUGGUGGUCACACCAGAUACUGACUGGUUUAAUGAUCCAUGUCCCUAACCCUUUUGAAGGUAUUUGUGUCCAAAUGAUGCAUAUCUGUAUUCCCAGUCAUGUGAAAUCCAUAGAUUAGGACCUAAAUUAAUUUAUUUCAGUUGACUGAUUGCCUUUUAUAUGAACUGUAACUCAGUAAAAUAUUAGAAAUUGUUGCAUGUUACGUUUUCUAUUUCAGUGUAUUUAUGUUUACCACGUGAUGAAAACAGUUGGAUCUGGUAUAAAUGUCUUGUAAAGCCUCACUCAUGGUGUUUUCUGAAACGUCACUGUCUGUAUUUAUCAGGAUGGGACAUCCUUUCUAUUUUGUGACCAUGUAGGAUUGGAGUGUGACAGGUCUGUCUUGUUUGGUGGCUUGUCCUUCAGUUCCUACCACCUACCUCACUGGAUACACAGUAAAUAGCUGUCCUAUUAGUGGAACAUGAGCAUGAUUUAGGCUUAACUUACUGGUGGUAUAACAUAAUAAAUACCAUAAGAAAUGUAUUAAUUGAAAUGUAUUUUUACAAGGAUAGUGCCCAUUAUUCAAUAUGACUAUAGAAGUGCCCGUUUUAGCCAGCUGGCUAAUUUUUAACUGCAGUCCCAAUUUGCUUCCCCUUUCAUGUCCUCCAUGUGCAGGUUCCCUCCAUCAGAGCGCCCUGUCCUGGUGCCCUGUCCUGGCUCUGUCCUGGUGCCCCAGCUCAGUUCCCUGUGAUACAGGAGUAUAUGGGUCUGCAGCAGUAUGUAGUGUAGGAGAGCGGAACAGGAACCACAUCGCUACCCAGGCCAUAUGUGGGCGUACAGCUGAGGAUUGGCUCUGGUUGGAUGAGCUGGGAACACACACAUACACACACUUGUCCCGUGUGGCUCAGUCAAUGAGCUGGGAACACAAAUACACACACUUGGUCCGUGUGGCUCAGUCAAUGAGCUGGGAACACAAAUACACACACUCGGCCCGUGUGGCUCAGUCAAUGAGCUGGGAACACACAAAUACACACACUUGGUCCGUGUGGCUCAGUCGGUAAAGCAUGACCAUGGGUUAUAACACCAUGACCAUGUGCUUCCCGGAUCUGGCUGAGAUCUGCCGGGACCUCAAGCUCUGGGUCAAGAGAACCUCUACCCGUUCUGUUUACAUCACCACAGUCCCACCUCGCUGAGAUCCGCCGGGCCCUCAAGCUCUGGGUCAAGAGAACCUCUACCCGUUCUGUUUACAUCACCACAGUCCCACCUCGCUGAGAUCCGCCGGGCCCUCAAGCUCUGGGUCAAGAGAAGCUCUACCCGUUCUGUUUACAUCACCACAGUCCCACCUCGCUGAGAUCCGCCGGGCCCUCAAGCUCUGGGUCAAGAGAAGCUCUACACGUUAUUUACAUCGCCACAGUCCCAACUCGCUGAGAUCCGCAGGGCCCUCAAGCUCUGGGUCAAGAGAAGCUCUACACGUUAUUUACAUCGCCACAGUCCCACCUCGCUGAGAUCCGCCGGGCCCUCAAGCUCUGGGUCAAGAGAAGCUCUACACGUUAUUUACAUCGCCACAGUCCCAACUCGCUGAGAUCCGCAGGGCCCUCAAGCUCUGGGUCAAGAGAACCUCUACCCGUUCUGUUUACAUCGCCACAGUCCCACCUCGCUGAGAUCCGCAGGGCCCUCAAGCUCUGGGUCAAGAGAACCUCUACCCGUUCUGUUUACAUCGCCACAGUCCCAACUCGCUGAGAUCCAAAAGUUCUUCCAAUAAGGUGAAGGUGGUGAGCUUCAAGCCAGACUUGGCCCAGAUGGACUUGUACAUACUAAGCCAGUCUGACCACUUCGUUGGGAAUUGUGUGUCAUCCUCUUCCUGCUUUUGUCAAACGAGACCGUGAUGUCCAUGCCCCGUCGUCGUCUUUCUUCGGGAAUGGACUACGCUGGAAAAUUUUAACAAGCAAGACGAGCUGUGAAGAUUUGCCCUUCCUGGGUAGUCCAUGACAAAUUGCUUUUAGAAUUUUAGAAUGGCUUUUGAAUCUUGGGUGAGGAGGAGGACAUUGCAGUGUGGGAAUGUGAUCUUGUACUCCACACUCACUAUUACAGUGAUGUAGUGAUAAAAAUGUUUUUAGUAAACUCUGAUCACCGUUCGCGGUGAAUAAAGUCAAGCUCCCAUUUUUUCAGCUGAA